rnacentral:lncRNA from 1 species
GUGGUUUUCCAAAAGCAUAUGUUUAGAAUAUGUCUUCCAUAAGGUUUUUGUGACAUGGAAGACCAAAUUUUUCAUAAAAAAAAAUCUUUCACACAUUUACAGACUCUUAAAAAUGAAAAGUACCUUAGAAGUAGAUAGAGGUAAAGGAAUGGAGAUAUGAUCUUAUUCUUGAGAAUAGAAUAAGAAGCUUUGUUAAAGAAAUUACUGAAACCAGAAUACACACUAUUUUUGAUGUGAUAUGAACUGAUAAAGCUUAUGUUUGUAGGGUUAUCACAUGGAAGAAGGAUUAGGUUUAUUCUACUUAGCCUCAGAAGAAAGAAUUUAGAGUAACUGAAGUAGGUUGAGAUAUACAAAGAAGAAAGUAUUGGGUCUAUGUUUGGGGGGGGGGAGCUAACAAUUAGAACUCUCCAAACACAGAACACAAUACUCUAGGAAUCAAGAAGGAUCCUUCUUAUUGGUGGAUCAUAAACAGAAGUGGGAUACUAUUUAUUGGGGGUUUGGGUAUGGAAAAAAAUCCCUUUUAAUUAAAGGUUGGGCUAAAUAGCUUCUGAUUUCCAUUCCAACUCUAAGAUUCUUCACUCUGCCACCAUAUUUUCAGGAAACCAAGUUAAAGAAAAGAUAUCUACUAAAAGAAGUUGAGGGAAAUCUAAGAUGAUGAUGAUGGUGAUUAAGGACCAGGUCACUGCUACCAGAAAACACAGAAAGAGCAUCAUAAAGGAUCUCAGAUAUGUUUCUCAAUGAAACUUAUAUAAGGGAAUGGGUCUUGCCCAAUGCAUGGCAUAUAAUAACUGCUAAUAAAUGUUGAUUGACUUGAUGUGAUGUGACAUUGAAAGAGACUUGAGAGAUCUGAAAUAGAAGAUUCAGGGGAAAAUUAAAAAUAACUUGAAGAAUUUCAUCUCCCCUCCCCCUACCACACUAACUUAUCAUCAUCUACAUGGAACUUGGCGACACACUAAAAGGACUUCCAUUCUGGUAAUAAUUUCAUCAUUCCCUGAGCCUUCUAUUGAAGUCCUCCAGAACACAAGUAAUGUUAUAGAACAGUACAAAGGUAUGAUACUAAAUAUUUACUACCUGGGCUUUAGGGGAGGAAAUGUACAAACACACUCUUUAAAAAAUUCUUACCUUCCAUCUUAGAAUCAAUACUUUGUAUUGAUUCCAAGGCAGAAGAGUGGUAAGCACUAGACAAUGGGUUGUGUAAUUUGGCCAGGGUCACAAAGCUGGGAAUUAUCUGAGGCCAUAUGUGAACCCAGGACCUCCCACCUCUAGACAAGGCUCUCAAUCCACUAGCUGUCCUCCAAACAUACAUUUUUGAACUUAACUUGUGUCAUUAGCACUUUCUUAAAUCUAGACAAUAAAUAAAAGAGUAAAUCGGGCCCA